rnacentral:rRNA from 1 species
AAUCAACGCUGGCGGCGCGCUUAACACAUGCAAGUCGCACGAGAAAGUGGAGCAAUCCAUGAGUACAGUGGCGUACGGGUGAGUAACACGUGGGUAAUCUACCUCUUAGUGGGGAAUAACUCUGGGAAACCGGAGCUAAUACCGCAUAAGCCUGGAAAGGGAAAGCAGCAAUGCGCUGAGAGAGGAGCCCGCGGCCGAUUAGCUAGUUGGUAGGGUAAAGCCUACCAAGGCAAUGAUCGGUAGCCGGCCUGAGAGGGCACACGGCCACACUGGCACUGAAACACGGGCCAGACUCCUACGGGAGGCAGCAGUGGGGAAUCUUGCACAAUGGGGGCAACCCUGAUGCAGCGACGCCGCGUGAGCGAUGAAGCCCUUCGGGGUGUAAGCUCUUUCGGCAGGAACGAUAAUGACGGUACCUGAAGAAGAAGCUGCGGCUAACUACGUGCCAGCCGCCGC